CUUUGCUGUAUUAAUGUCAUUCCUCAUUCUCUUCUCUGAGAGAAAUAUUCCUAAGUACUUUAACCUUUCCCCAUAAAUCCUGUUAUCUGCCUCCUUACAUAUUUAUACAUUCACAGUCUUAUGGUUACUGUAGCAUUUCACUGGUCUCAGAUUAUCAAUCAGUAUAACUCAAUAGACAUUUCCCUUAGGUAGGGCAAAUUACUGCACUUAUGACUGAGGCUGAUCAAAGGCACAAUUUGUUUGCCUUUAGAAAUUUUUGUUUUCCAUGACUGCAAGAAAUACUGCUGAACAAGACAUUUCUUUACCAUCCCUGAUGAAAGAUGAACAUUAAUAAUGCAGAUAGGAAUCAGGCCAAGUAAUGUUGAAGAGAAAACAAGGUCCAGAAACCCUGCUUCCUUUUAGAAGAUAAGAAUAAAUAAAUUAAAAAUGGCAAGCUCAAUAAUUCCACCAUAACAAAAAAUGAGGAACUUUCUGGUCUCCAUAUCCUCAUAAAUAAAAGUUGAAUUCUGUGGGGAGAAAACAAACAAAAAAACCCAUCACAGCUAACAACUGAAUUGCUCUGUGGAUAUUAUACAUUUCUAAGCAAGCAUUGAAUACAGGAGAUGUGUUCAUCAUAACCAGAGACAGAGUAUGUAUAGCUUGGCUCCAUACAGCUCAAAUGGUCAUCUACCAUCACUUAGACUCCCAUACUUCUCUUCCUCCUAGAGUCACCAGCUAUCCACUGACACCAAUUCUUCCUCCUAACAUAGAACACACCUGCUGCAUGUAACUCUGGGAGCUCAUUACCCCCAGUGACAUAUUUACCCUAGGUUUUCUUGUCAACCCAGGUAUGCCUGUGUGUGUGUGUGUGUGGGUGCUCCCCUUCUCCCUCAAUUUGUAAUGUAAAAAUCUCCAUGUCAUUACAAUAUUCUGUUAACAAAAAGUGACUGGGCAAACAAUAAAAUAAAAAAAUGUAAUCUUUAUUAGUUUUGCACAUUUUAAAUGUUGGUUAGCAUUAUUUAGUGUAAUAGUAGCAUUUUCCAGCAUGCAGUUCACAAAUACAGUUUAUCUAAGUAGUUUUAAGAAAAAGAGGAGCCUAUGGUUUGCUUCUGCAAGAAACACAAAAUGUUCUGAUGUAAUUGACUAUAUAAGUUGACUACUCUCUGUUCUCAUGGAAAAAAAAAACAAAACUGUGAAGCCCACAUUAUAUUUAGAACAAUCUAGAGCAGCAUUACUCCGAAGAAAUGAAAACAUAAACUGAAGUUAGAAGAAAAGGAAAAAAA